GACAGAGGCCUCGAGCGUUAGGCGGAAUCACUGGGCUUAAAGCGUGUGUAGGCGGAUCGUUAAGUGCCUUGUGAAAUCCCACGGCUUAACUGUGGAACGGCUGGGCAUACUGGCGGUCUUGAGCCAUCUAGGGGCGACUGGAACAAACGGUGGAGCGGUGAAAUGCGUAGAUAUCGUAAGGAAGACCAGUGGCGAAGGCGGGUCUCUGGACAGUUCCUGACGCUGAGGCACGAAGGUCAGGGGAGCAAACGGG
rnacentral:rRNA from 1 species